GGCCGAGGAAAGCAGAAGUCAACGGAGGGAGCUCAGCAGCUCCUAAAGUGCACACACAGGUUUACCCCAAAUCGCCCUGGUCCUGCCAGACGCUACCCACAGGCUAAUUCCCCAGC